rnacentral:rRNA from 1 species
UACGUAGGGGCCGAGCGUUGUCCGGAGUUAUUGGGCGUAAAGCGCGCGCAGGCGGCUUGGCGCGCCCGACGUGAAAGCCCCCGGCUUAACCGGGGAGAGUCGUCGGGGACGGCCGGGCUUGAGGGCGGGAGAGGGUGGUGGAAUUCCCGGUGUAGUGGUGAAAUGCGUAGAGAUCGGGAGGAACACCUGUGGCGAAGGCGGCCACCUGGGCCGACCCUGACGCUGAGGCGCGAAGGCGUGGGGAGCGAUCCGG